UCCUCUUUACAGAGGCAGUUUGUUUUGAGUCCCCGACAUUACUCGCUGGUAACAAAACAUGAGGGUUGCGCUCGUUGCGGGACUUAACCCAACAUUUCACAACACGAGCUGACGACAGCCAUGCACCACCUGUGCACCACCUUCGAAAGCGGCCCCUUUUCGGGGGAUUGCAGGUGCAUGUCAAACCCUGGUAAGGUUCUUCGUUUAUCAUUGAAUUAAAGAACACGAUCCACCGCUUGUGCGGGUCCCCGUCAAUUCCUUUAUGUUUUAGUCUUGCGACCGUACUCCACAGGCGGGAUACUUAACGCGUUAGCUUCGCUACUGAAGGGGUCGAUACCUCCAACAGCUAGUAUCCAUCGUUUACGGCGUGGACUAC
rnacentral:misc_RNA from 1 species